GACAGAGGGUACAAACGUUGUUCGGAAUUACUGGGCGUAAAGCGUGCGCAGGCGGCUUUCCAAGUCAGUGGUGAAAGCCCGGAGCUCAACUCCGGAAAUGCCAUUGAAACUGUGAAGCUUGAGAACGAGAGAGGUGAGUGGAAUUCCCAGUGUAGAGGUGAAAUUCGUAGAUAUUGGGAAGAACACCAGUGGCGAAGGCGGCUCACUGGCUCGUAACUGACGCUCAUGCACGACAGCGUGGGGAUCAAACAGG
rnacentral:rRNA from 1 species